GACGAACGCUGGCGGCGUGCCUAAUACAUGCAAGUCGAACGCAGUGGGGACGGGUGAGUAACACGUGGGUAACCUCCCAUCAGAGGGGAUAACAUUUGGAAACAGGUGCUAAACCGAUACUGAUGGCUGGUACCUCGUGGCAUUAGCUAGUUGGUGAGGUAACGGCUCACCAAGGCAACGAUGCAUAGCCGGCCUGAGAGGGUGAUCGGCCACACUGGGACUGAGACACGGCCCAGACUCCGACGGGAGGCAGCAGUAGGGAAUAUUGGGCAAUGGACGAAAGUCUGACGGAGCAACGCCGCGUGAGUGAAGAAGGUUUUCGGAUCGUAAAACACUGUUGUUAGAGAAGCGGUAUCUAAAGAGAAAGCCACGGCUAACUACGUGCCAGCAGCCGCGGUAAUAC
rnacentral:rRNA from 1 species